AGGAUCACGUGAGAAACCUGCCCCAGACUCUGGGAUAACAAUUGGAAACGAUUGCUAAUACCGGAUGACGUCGGAGAACCGCAUGGUUCACUGACGAAAGAUAUUUCGGUUUGGGAGGGUCUCGCGGCCUAUCAGCUUGUUGGUGGGGUAAUGGCCUACCAAGGCAACGACGGGUAGCUGGUCUGAGAGGAUGAUCAGCCACACUGGGACUGAGACACGGCCCAGACUCCUACGGGAGGCAGCAGUGGGGAAUCUUGCGCAAUGGGCGAAAGCCUGACGCAGCAACGCCGCGUGCGGGAUGAAGGCCUUCGGGCUGUAAACCGCUUUCAGCAGGAACGAAAAUGACGGUACCUGCAGAAGAAGGAGCGGCCAACUACGUGCCAGCAGCCGCGGUGACACGUAGGCUCCAAGCGUUGUCCGGAUUUAUUGGGCGUAAAGAGCUCGUAGGCGGUUUAGUAAGUCGGGUGUGAAAACUCUGGGCUUAACCCGGAGACGCCAUCCGAUACUGCUAUGACUUGAGUUCAGGAGGGGAGCGGGGAAUUCCUAGUGUAGCGGUGAAAUGCGCAGAUAUUAGGAGGAACACCGGUGGCGAAGGCGCCGCUCUGGACUGAAACUGACGCUGAGGAGCGAAAGCAUGGGUAGCAAACAGGAUUAGAUACCCUGGUAGUCCAUGCCGUAA
rnacentral:rRNA from 1 species